rnacentral:rRNA from 1 species
UCGGGAAUUUUGGGCAAUGGGCGAAAGCCUGACCCAGCAACGCCGCGUGAAGGAUGAAGUAUUUCGGUAUGUAAACUUCGAAAGAAUAGGAAGAAUAAAUGACGGUACUAUUUAUAAGCUCCGGCUAACUACGUGCCAGCAGCCGCGGUAAUACGUAGGGAGCAAGCGUUGUUCGGAUUUACUGGGCGUAAAGGGCGCGUAGGCGGCGCGGUAAGUCACUUGUGAAAUCUCUGAGCUUAACUCAGAACGGCCAAGUGAUACUGCAGUGCUAGAGUGCAGAAGGGGCAAUCGGAAUUCUUGGUGUAGCGGUGAAAUGCGUAGAUAUCAAGAGGAACACCUGAGGUGAAGACGGGUUGCUGGGCUGACACUGACGCUGAGGCGCGAAAGCCGAGGGGAGCGAAACGGGAUUAG